rnacentral:rRNA from 1 species
AUUGAACGCUGGCGGCAGGCCUAACACAUGCAAGUCGAGCGGUAGAGAGGUGCUUGCAUCUCUUGAGAGCGGCGGACGGGUGAGUAAUGCCUAGGAAUCUGCCUAGUGGUGGGGGAUAACGUUCGGAAACGGACGCUAAUACCGCAUACGUCCUACGGGAGAAAGCGGGGGGAUCUUCGGACCUCGCGCCAUUAGAUGAGCCUAGGUCGGAUUAGCUAGUUGGUGAGGUAAUGGCUCACCAAGGCGACGAUCCGUGACUGGUCUGAGAGGAUGAUCAGUCACACUGGAACUGAGACACGGUCCAGACUCCUACGGGAGGCAGCAGUGGGGAAUAUUGGGACAAUGGGCGAAAGCCUGAUCCAGCCAUGCCGCGUGUGUGAAG